rnacentral:rRNA from 1 species
GACGAACGCUGGCGGCGUGCUUAACACAUGCAAGUCGAACGGAAAGGCCCCUUCGGGGGUACUCGAGUGGCGAACGGGUGAGUAACACGUGAGUAACCUGCCCUUGACUUCGGGAUAACUUCAGGAAACUGGGGCUAAUACCGGAUAGGAAUCCUUGCUGCAUGGUGGGGGUUGGAAAGCUUCGGCGGUUUUGGAUGGACUCGCGGCUUAUCAGCUUGUUGGUGGGGUAGUGGCUUACCAAGGCUUUGACGGGUAGCCGGCCUGAGAGGGCGACCGGCCACAGUGGGACUGAGAUACGGCCCAGACUCCUACGGGAGGCAGCAGUGGGGAAUAUUGCACAAUGGGCGGAAGCCUGAUGCAGCAACGCCGCGUGCGGGAUGACGGCCUUCGGGUUGGAAACCGCUUUCAGCAGGGGCGAAGCUUGUGGUGACGGUACCUGCAGAAGAAGCACCGGCUAACUACGUG